AUGUUAGCGGCGGACGGGUGAGUAACACGUGGGUAACCUACCUAUAAGACUGGGAUAACUCCGGGAAACCGGGGGCUAAUACCGGAUAAUAUUUUGAACCGCAUGGUUCAAUAGUGAAAGACGGUUUCGGCUGUCACUUAUAGAUGGACCCGCGCCGUAUUAGCUAGUUGGUAAGGUAACGGCUUACCAAGGCGACGAUACGUAGCCGACCUGAGAGGGUGAUCGGCCACACUGGAACUGAGACACGGUCCAGACUCCUACGGGAGGCAGCAUG
rnacentral:rRNA from 1 species